UGGGGAAUCUUGCGCAAUGGACGAAAGUCUGACGCAGCGACGCCGCGUGGGUGAUGAAGGCCUUCGGGUUGUAAAGCCCUGUGGGGAGGGACGAAUAAGUGGUGGCUAAUAUCCACCAUGAUGACGGUACGUCCUUAGCAAGCACCGGCUAACUCUGUGCCAGCAGCCGCGGUAAGACAGAGGGUGCAAACGUUGUUCGGAAUUACUGGGCGUAAAGCGCGUGUAGGUGGCAAGGCAAGUCGGGUGUGAAAGCCCUGGGCUCAACCCAGGAAGUGCACUCGAUACUGCCUCGCUAGAGUCCCGGAGAGGUUGGUGGAACUCUCGGUGUAGAGGUGAAAUUCGUAGAUAUCGAGAAGAACACCGGUGGCGAAGGCGGCCAACUGGACGGUGACUGACACUGAGACGCGAAAGCGUGGGGAGCAAAC
rnacentral:rRNA from 1 species